rnacentral:rRNA from 1 species
CCUACGGGUGGCAGCAGUGAGGAAUAUUGGUCAAUGGGCGGGAGCCUGAACCAGCCAAGUCGCGUGAGGGAAGACGGUCCUAUGGAUUGUAAACCUCUUUAGUCGGGGAGCAAUGCCGGGCACGUGUGCCCGGCGGGAGAGUACCCGCAGAAUAAGCAUCGGCUAACUCCGUGCCAGCAGCCGCGGUAAUACGGAGGAUGCGAGCGUUAUCCGGAUUUAUUGGGUUUAAAGGGUGCGUAGGCGGAAUGCCAAGUCAGCGGUAAAAUCGCGGGGCUCAACCUCGCUCCGCCGUUGAAACUGGCGUUCUGGAGUGGGCGAGAGGUAUGCGGAAUGCGUGGUGUAGCGGUGAAAUGCAUAGAUAUCACGCAGAACUCCGAUUGCGAAGGCAGCAUACCGGCGCCCAACUGACGCUGAAGCACGAAAGCGUGGGUAUCGAACAGGAUUAGAUACCCUUGUAGUC